CCUACGGGAGGCAGCAGUGGGGAAUAUUGGGCAAUGGGCGCAAGCCUGACCCAGCAACGCCGCGUGAAGGAAGAAGGCUUUCGGGUUGUAAACUUCUUUUCUCAGGGACGAAGCAAGUGACGGUACCUGAGGAAUAAGCCACGGCUAACUACGUGCCAGCAGCCGCGGUAAUACGUAGGCGGCAAGCGUUAUCAGGAUUUACUGGGUGUAAAGGGAGUGUAGGUGGGGACGUAAGUCAGAUGUGAAAACCACGGGCUCAACCUGUGGCCUGCAUUUGAAACUGUGUUUCUUGAGUACUGGAGAGGCAGACGGAAUUCGUAGUGUAGCGGUGAAAUGCGUAGAUAUUAGGAAGAACACCAGUGGCGAAGGCGGUCUACUAGACAGCAACUGACGUUGAGGCGCGAAAGCGUGGGGAGCAAACAGGAUUAGAUACCCGAGUAGUC
rnacentral:rRNA from 1 species